rnacentral:lncRNA from 1 species
CUGGCCUCUGCCAGGUACGUGGCAUAAGGAUCUGUGUCAGAUGUGGGUUCUGCUCACAGCCAGCGUGGUGGGCAGGUGUCUGUGGCAGUCUUCUCUGAUUUCUUUAUUUUCCUGGUGAAGCAAGGGCAAGGGCUGUGGGGAGAGGGAGGAGGAGCUUUGAAAGAUGGUGGGAAAGCCGGGAGGGAACGGAUGAGGGUCUCUUCCACACAGGGCUGGGUGGUACCUGGCGGUCGCCUGAAGUGGGCCAGGGGCUGGCCAUGAGCCCCUCCAUAACUGAUGGCUGCCAGGAGCAGCCCAGAGGAGCUGAAGAGAACGUGAUGGGAAGAAAGGAGCCAGGUUCAAUGACACCUGCGAAGGGGUGACGCUGGUGGAACCCACAGGACACCCAACCACCUGUCACCCCAGGCUCUGAGCCACCACCCUCCUCUGCCUUUCUUGAGGGAUGCUGGUGCUUGUGACUUGUCCAGCAGGGAGGUGGGGGUCUGACUGCCCCUCUCUGACCCUGACUCUUAGAUGCCAGGUCCAGGGAGCUAUGCUUCACAGAUGCUGCAUUCUCUGCGUCCGGAGGAGGAGAUGAUGGGACGGGGAAUCUUCUCGCUGUCGCCUACCCCGUAAAGUGUAACCAGUCUCUUCCUUGCACCUGAUCAAGACAUGUAACAUCCAACUUGUGCAAGGCAUAAAUGUCCUCAGAGGAAACCAUAAGUUACCCAAAAGAAUAUAAAACGUCAGAACCAGAAGGUAUUAUGGAUUACAAGGUCACCGUGAUUCACAGACGGGCCAGCCUUGAGGCCCCUCGUGGUGCUCCUGUCUGCCUGGUGCCUGUGACUGUGGCAGGAGGUGCCACUUACGGCUUAGAAGUGCAGCCCCGGCCCGCGGUCACCCCACAGACCGGAACUGUCUCCCUGGCGCGGGAACAGUGUACUUAGAAGCCAUCUCCAUCCGCCCUUGGCUCUGGCAGGGAAUGACAUAGGAAUUAAUCAGCUGCGGUGAAUCAGAUUAGUUGAAGAACUAGGAUUCUGGCACCCUACCUUCAAGACAGCAAAGUAUAUUGAUGACAGUGGAACCUGAAAAGGCUUCAAGGUUUUUACAAUUACAUUCUAUUAUGUGUGUUAGUGAUUUUGCUCAAUAUCUGUCAUUGUUGUUUUCAAAAUCAAAUACACAUCAUUUGGUGAAAGCCCAGCUGGGAUGUCCACUUGUGUUUGUCACCUGCAAGCGCGUCACUGCCGGAUGUCCACUUGUGUUUGUCACCUGCAAGAGCGUCACUGCCAUAUUCUGCAUGUAAAAAGGAAGACUAAGCCGACAGAGGCUGCCUAGUGUCCGACAGUUUGAGAAGAAGUGGCCCUGCUGCCUUCCAG